AUUGAACGCUGGCGGCAGGCUUAACACAUGCAAGUCGAGCGGAGAGAGGUAGCUUGCUACUGAUCUUAGCGGCGGACAGGUGAGUAAUGCUUAGGAAUCUGCCUAUUAGUGGGGGACAACAUUUCGAAAGGAAUGCUAAUACCGCAUACGUCCUACGGGAGAAAGCAGGGGAUCUUCGGACCUUGCGCUAAUAGAUGAGCCUAAGUCGGAUUAGCUAGUUGGUGGGGUAAAGGCCUACCAAGGCGACGAUCUGUAGCGGGUCUGAGAGGAUGAUCCGCCACACUGGGACUGAGACACGGCCCAGACUCCUACGGGAGGCAGCAGUGGGGAAUAUUGGACAAUGGGCGGAAGCCUGAUCCAGCCAUGCCGCGUGUGUGAAGAAGGCCUUAUGGUUGUAAAGCACUUUAAGCGAGGAGGAGGCUACUUUAGUUAAUACCUAGAGAUAGUGGACGUUACUCGCAGAAUAAGCACCGGCUAACUCUGUGCCAGCCGCCGCGGUAA
rnacentral:rRNA from 1 species